AUGGGGCAGCUAGGGGCUAGCUAUGGGGCAGCUAUGGGGCAGCUAAGGGGUGCUAUGGGGCAGCUAUGGGGGCUGCUAUGGGGCAGCUUAUGGGCAGCUAUGAGGGCUGCUGUGGGGCAGCUAGGGGCAGCUAUGGGGCUUGCUAUGGGGCAGCUCUGGGGGCAGCUAUGGGGCUGCUAUGGGGCAGCUAUGGGGGCAGCUAUGGGGCUGCUAUGGGGCUGCUAUGGGCAGCUAUGGGGCUGCUAUGGGGCUGCUAUGCGGGCAGCUAUUGGGGCUGCUAUGGGGCAGCUAUGGGGCUGCUAUUGGGGCAGCUAUGGGGCUGCUAUGGGGCAGCUCUAUGGGGCUGCUAUGGGGCUGCUAUGGGGCAGCUAUGGGUCUGAUGUGUGUCUCUCUGUCUCUCCCCAUAGCUGGAGGUCCUUUAGCUGUUCUAUGGGGCGGGCUGGGCCCCGAGGCGGGCGCUGCCGUGGGGCUGUGCUCGUUCCUUGGGGCCGCAUUCGCUGCCGCAGCCGCAGCUUUGGGGGCGGCCGAGCUGCUGACGGUGUACGUUCUCCCCCCGUCGGCCAUGUUGCCGCUGUCCCGGCUGAACAGCGGCCGCAGUUACGGCUCCGCCAUGUUGGUUCUAUUGGGGCUGGGGGCGGCCGCCCCACACGGGCCCCACGUGGCCUCAUUGGGCCCCAUUGGGGUGGGGCUGACGCUGCUGGCGCUGCAGGGCGGGGCCAUCAGAGCCGCCAUGACGGGAACCAGGAACGGGUAAGGGCGGAUAAUGAGAUGCUAAUGACAUGCUAAUGAGAUGGUAAUGGGAUGAGAAUGAGAUGAUAAUGGGAUGAGAAUGAGAUGGUAAUGGGAUGAUAAUGGGAUGCUAAUGAGAUGAGAAUGAGAUGAUAAUGAGAUGGUAAUGGGAUGAUAAUGAAAUGCUAAUGAGAUGGUAAUGGGAUGGUAAUGGGAUGAUAAUGAAAUGCUAAUGAGAUGAUAAUGGGAUGAGAAUGAGAUGCGAAUGAGAUGAUAAUGGGAUGGUAAUGAGAUGCUAAUGGGAUGAUAAUGAGAUGAUGAUGGGAUGCUAAUGGGCCCCCAAUGUCACCCCAUAAGGCCCCAAUGUCACCCCAUAGGGCCCCAUAGGGCCCCAAUGUCAUCCCAUAGGACCCCAAUAUCACCCCAUAGAACCCAGUGUCACCCCAUAGACCCCAAUGUCACCCCAUAGGACCCCAAAAUCACCCCAUAGGACCCUAAUGUCACCCCAUAGGACCCAAAAUCACCCCAUAGGGCCCAAUGUCACCCCAUAGGGCCCAGUGUCACCCCAUAGGGCCUCAAAAUCACCCCAUAGCCCCCAAUGUCACCCCAUAGGGCCCCAUAGGACCCCAAUGUCACCCCAUAGACCCCAAUGUCACCCCAUAGGGCCCCAAUGUCACUCCAUAGGACCCUAAUGUCACCCCAUAGACCCCAAUGUCACCCCAUGGGACCCCAAAAUCACCCCAUAGAACCCAAUGUCACCCCAUAGGGCCCCAUAGGAUCCCAAUAUCACCCCAUAGCCCCCAAUGCCGCCCCAUAGGGCCCCAUAGGACCCCAAUGUCACCCCAUAGGAUCUCAGUGUCACUCCAUAAGACCCCAUUGGACCCCAAUGUUACCCCAUAGGGCCCAAUGUCACCCCAUAGGGCCCCAUAGGAUCCCAAUGUCACCCCAUUGGACCCCAUAGGACCCCAAUGUCACCCCAUAGGGUCCCAAUGUCACCCCAUAGGGCCCCAUAGGAUCCCAAUGUCACCCCAUUGGACACCAUAGGACCCCAAUAUCA
ensembl:lncRNA